ensembl:lncRNA
GGCCCCAUUAGGAAACCCUGGCACUCAAGCCCAGCCCUCCACUUUGUCUUGGCACUCAUUGGCCCUCAGAAGGAUACCCUGAGCUGCAUUCCCACGUGACCCCUCUCCCCAUUUCUGCAGGGCCCAGUGGAACCUCCUCGGCUGCCAAUGGCAUUUCCGGAAAUCCCAACCAAGGUAAUUCUGGAGCCAAGAGCUUACACCCCUACUUCUCCGGGCCCUACUCAGGGUCACCCUUGUCAACCCAUUGCUCCAAACAAAGUGCUCCAAACACACAGGCACGCUCCGUAGGCACCUGCAUUUUUGCAGGCAAGGCUAGAGCUCCCUGCCAUGCAAGAUACCCAACAAUUUUCCCCAGCCACCUUUUCCCCCACUCAUUUUGCCCAUCCAAUGGGCCUUACCUAAACACUGGGUUCCCCACUUGGCCAUUUCCCAGGACCAGUCACAUCCACAGGAGCCAGUGGGACAGGCAGAGCUGAAACCAGCACAAAGGGGAGAUCGCCAGCUGUGAGCAGUAGCUCCAGUGGAGCCAGCCAAGGUCAGUUGCCUUGGGGGACCCUUCUACCACCUGCAUGACACUCCUGCACACUCCACUUCUUGCUCAUGGCUGGCCCACUGAGAGACACUCCCAAUUGCCACUGGCUUCCAACUUCUCCGGCCAUGGGCCAUUCAUUCUCGCCUCUCUUUCUUCCUAUCAGGUGCUACUCCCCAAGCAACAGGCAGCACCAUCAGCCGAAGCAGCGAAGCACUCCGUUCCACAGGAGCCAGUGGGCUCAACUCAGCUCAAACCACCACCCAGGGAAGAUCCACAGCCAUUGGUGCCAGCUCCAGGGGAGCCACUCAAGGUUAGUUAG